rnacentral:rRNA from 1 species
GACGGAGGGUGCGAGCGUUGUCCGGAUUUACUGGGCGUAAAGGGCGCGUAGGCGGUUUGAUCAGUCGGGUGUGAAAGGCGUGGGCUCAUCCUGCGUAAGCAUUCGAGACGGUUGGACUGGAGGGUGGUCGAGGGAGACAGAAUGCCGGGUGUAGUGGUGAAAUGCGUAGAGAUCCGGCGGAAUACCGGUGGCGAAGGCGGUCUUCUGGGCCACAACUGACGCUGAGGCGCGAGAGCGUGGGGAGCGAACCGG